UACGUAGGGCGCGAGCGUUAAUCGGAAUUACUGGGCGUAAAGCGUGCGCAGGCGGUUAUGUAAGGCAGGCGUGAAAUCCCCGGGCUUAACCUGGGAACUGCAUUUGUGACUGCAUCGCUGGAGUGCGGCAGAGGGGGAUGGAAUUCCGCGUGUAGCAGUGAAAUGCGUAGAUAUGCGGAGGAACACCGAUGGCGAAGGCAAUCCCCUGGGCCUGCACUGACGCUCAUGCACGAAAGCGUGGGGAGCAAACAGG
rnacentral:rRNA from 1 species